rnacentral:lncRNA from 1 species
CUCUGAUUGGCUACAUAGUCUACAUAGUUAGACCUGAAACUGAAACGUUAAAUUUAUUUAUACUAUAUUUUUAAGUGAGUUUCAAGUGUGUUUUCAGGUAUAGUGGAGACCAGAUCUAAUCCUAAAUAAGCUGUGAAAAGUCAAACUUAUUCCAGAUGCCUUUACUGUUUUUUCAACCUCAUCUUUCCAUGAAUCUCCUAUAAUCUUCACUACAUCUAGGAUAUUGAAGAUCUUCAAUAUAUCUCUCUUAUUAAAUUUUAUACUGCUUUCCAUCUAAUUUGAUUCUGAUGGAUUUCAAUGGCUAUUGUAGGUGGUCCAUAGCUGUAGUGAGAUGUUUUAUAUUGUUUUUCUGCUGAUAAUAACUAAUCAGCUGGGCUCUUCCAGCAUUUCCGCUGACUGCUUAUACCCAUAGUGAGUCAGUUAUGAGGUGAACAAAGUGUAACAAGCCAUAUAAACCUUUCUUGAAAAAUCUGGAGGUAUGGAAUCUAGAAUUGAACCUUUUUCCAAGAUGAAAUAAUUCUACACAAUUGAUGUAUUGUGCAUUGUAAAUCAGUGGAAGUUACUUGGCUUUUCAUCCUGAGGCAAGGAUCCAUAUCCAGGUUAUAGACCAAUGAACAGAGUUACAGGUAAUAUUUUAAUAUAUGUAUGUGAGAUGCAAAUUAUACUUAUAUAUAUCAUCAAUAAAUCUAAGCUAACUAAUGGAGUAGAACAUCAACAUGUCUGUAUUCUUGUAAUUGGAGUGGGCAAUACUCAAAGAAGGAAGGGAAAAAGAGAUAUAUAUGGGAACACUCAAAUACCAUUAAUAAGAUGGCACUAUCAGCCUUAUCUCUAUACAUUGUACCAGCUUUCUCUAUAGUCGUUCACACGAAUUUCUUGUAUAGAUGAUGAAACCAUAUGUCUGCAAAUACAUAUCCUUUUAUUCUUUCUACUCUUUUCUUGGCCUUUCUCUCCCACAUUUAUCUUCUACACAUCCAGCAUAUACUUGAUUUGUUAAUUUGCUCUUUAUUCAUUUGCUCCAAAUGACCAAACCAUCUUAAAGUUGAUUAAAUACUGCAUCUAUCACAUUCCUUUUCACUCCCU